UAGUAGUGCAGAUUCAGUAAAUAGUCUGACAGUGUUGAGGGAAUUAUUUGUUUAGCAGAGUGAUGGCCUUCGGGAAAAAACUGUUCUUGUGUCUAGUUGUUCUGGUGUGCAGUGCUCUAUAGCGUCGUUUUGAGGGUAGGAGUUGAAACAGUUUAUGUCCAGGAUGCGAGGGGUCUGUAAAUAUUUUCACGGCCCUCUUCUUGAUUCGUGCAGUAUACAGGUCCUCAAUGGAAGGCAAGUUGGUAGCAAUUAUUUUUUCUGCAGUUCUAAUUAUCCUCUGAAGUCUGUGUUUUUCUUGUUGGGUUGCAGAACCGAACCAGACAGUUAUAGAGGUGCAAAUGACAGACUCAAUAAUUCCUCUGUAGAACUGGAUCAGCAGCUCCUUGGGCAGUUUGAGCUUACUGAGUUGGCGCAGAAAGAACAUUCUUUGUUGUCCUUUUUUAAUGAUGUUUUUGAUGUUAGCUGUCCAUUUGAGAUCUUGCGAUAUGAUAGAACCCAAAAAUUUGAAGUGGGUGGCGACUGGUGUAGUUUUUUGUCUGCUAAAAACCGUACUUAUUUUUUUUUUUAUCAAAAGCAAACCGGGAGCCCAUGCUAAGACCAUGACACUUUUGGAUUCUAAUAGUGGCUAUCAGAAUAACAAUAUCGUAGAAUCUAUUUAAAAGCGGGUCUAUUGAAAACAGAUCGCUUCGUCAGUAAUGGUGGGCAGGAUUACGCUGUAAAAGGCUAUAGCUGCUGCCUUAGACGGAUUUACCUAGAAGCAACCUUUGUGACGCGGGCUAUUUCAUGCAGAAAGGAACCUAAAGGAAACAUUUGUUUUAAAAUUCUUUUAAGGGAUUUGAGAAUAUCCCUUUGCCUUUGUUUUUUCAAGAAAUCUGAUUGGAUUCAUUCCUAUAUUUUAUUGUAAAUUUCUGAAAAGACCUUUUCUGGAUGAUUGACAGAAAUGAAUUUUAGGCUUUUGCUGUUCUUUGUGCAUUUAUUCCUAAUCCACUGGUAGCAGCAUGUAUACAGGUAGUCCUCGGUUUACGUUUGUUUAAUGACCAAAGUUAUAACAGGACUGAAAAAGUGAUUUAUGACUAUUUUUCAUACUUACAACUGUUGCUGUAUCCCCAUGGUCACAUGAUCAAAAUUCAGAUGUUUGGCAGCUGACUCAUUUAUGAUGGUGGCAGUGUCCUGGGGUUACCGUAUGUAAUCACCAUUGCAGAAUAAAAUCGAACUGUUAUUGGCUAAUAGUUGUCCUAUGCAUUUUGUUCAAAGAUAGUACUUUUCAAGAUGGAUGGCAUUGCUUAGUGAAACAUUGACAACUUCCCAGAUUCAGCCUUCAAUUUCUCCAUCUGCUGAAGGAGCUAGGUCAUAUGACUGAGCUUCUGCCGUCCCAUACUCUAUUCACGUCCUCAGAAUUCAAAGCAUCACAAGGCUUUACCUCUGUUAUUUUCAUAGAUCCUGCCCAUGCGAAAUGUCCGCAUUUCCAAAUAGUUGAUCAUUGAAGAAAAAUUGUAUCCUUCUCUGCCUGAUAGGUAAUUAAUCCAAGAAACAGCUCUUGCUGACAUAUUCUUGGUCUUGACAAUCUUUGUAGCAUAUUCAUGUGAUAAAUCUUUUUUAGCUAAUGGGCGGAAGGAAUAACCUUGAGGAAAUGGAAGAAGAGCCCCAAUCAAUAAAAGAGUCAAAUAAAAGAGGGCUGCAUGCAGGGCAGAAGUUCUCUAACCUGAAUAAGCAUCUCAGACCAGACCCACCUAGUUCUCAUGAAGUUAAAGGAAGGGAGGGGGAAAGCAUAUCCAGACUUGCAAGAUUCUGUUUAUGUAACAUUAUAAUAAAAAUACAUUAGCAUGUAUGAUUUUGGUUUCCUAGCCUGGUCUACUGUAAAAGGCUGACACAUUUCCAUAUUGCUGAGAGAGAGCUCCCUUGCCAGGGUUCUCACAACAUUCUUGUCUUUCUACUUCAGUCUCCUUCCUCUUUAUGCCGAUGCUGAUGUAAGUCUCUUUUUGUUUUAGUGUGUUUUUGAAUUCCCCCAUAAUAGUUUAUAAUCAGUAUUUUACAGCUUAAUAGUAUUAUGCAAUCCCAGCUAGUUAGACUGGAUUCAUACACAUAAUUUCAAUGCCCCCCCACCCGAUUUUAAAAUGUUUAAAAGUUAUAGGAUACAGUAUCAAAAUCUGGGUUAAAUAGUUCAAUGAUUAUCAGUAAUAAAUUGCUUUUUAAACAUACUUUCCAAAUGUAGCAAGGGCAUUAAAAUAUGAAAACAAAAUAAACUAGAGGUUUGAAGUCUGAAUAAGAAUGAAUAAGGUGCUAAUAAAUGGUUUUUGAUCAUAAUAUAUCAUCUUUACAAUUUUAACAUUUUGUAUUGGAUUUACUGAAGUUCUUAUUUUAUGUUUACAUGAACAGAUAUCUUUGUAAUGUAAGCUGUGUUAUAACAGAAAGUUAUUUACAGCCUUCCUCUUCUUGUUAGCUGGUUAUAGAAAUUGAAGUAAUUUUAGUCACUUUUGGGGGAUCAUGGUGACUGAUAAAAAUAAAGCUAAACAGCUUUAUCUUCUCAAAUAACCUUCUGGCUGAGUUUAUUACUCAAAUAUGGCAGGAGGCAAAUAAGCUAUCACCAGAAAAAGAUCAUGUUAGAUAUACCAUAGAUUUUAAUAACAUAUAUGAUAUUGGGACUGGAAUGGUUACAUUUAAAAUACAGACCGAAUGAAAAUACUUGUUUAUUGUUAUGGUCAAGUGGAUCUUCUCAUUUAAUAACAUUAUUUCAGAAAAGUUUUGGUAACAUGUAAUUCAUUGUACUUUUCUGGCUGCUUCAAAAAUAUUAAGGCUGCAGUCUCCAGCUACUACUAGCAAGAGAAAGGUGUUGUUAAGAUCAUUUUUAAAGUUACCAUAGUAAUUGAAAAUAUUUCUGAUAAACAGAAAAUUAAUUGAAGAAGUAAAUGGAAACUGCUUGGGAAUAUAGGUAGUCCUUGACUGAUGACUACAAUUCAGCCCAAAAUUUCUAUUGCUAAGUGAGACAGUUGUUAAGUGAAUUUUGCCCCUUUUUGUGACUUUUCUUGCCACAGCUGUUAAGUAGAUCAAUGCAGUUGUUAAGUUAGUAACGUGGCUAUUAAGGGAAUCUGGUUUCCCAUUGACUUUGCUUGUCAGAAGGUUGCAAAAGGUGAUCACAAAAACCCAGGACACUGCAACUGUCAUAAAUAUUAGUCAGUUGCCAAGCAUCUGACCACAAGGAUGCUGCAGUGUGAAAAGGGUCAUAAGUCAUUUUUUUAGGGCCAUUGUAAUUUCAAAUGAUCAGUAAAUAAACUGUUGAGGACUGCCUAUACUUGAAAAAGAUGUGGCAAUGUCAGUUUCACUUUUAGCUUUUACCCAGUUUGAACUUUUUAAUGCAUAUUUAGUUUAAAUUUUUUCUUUAAUAUACUGACCAAGAAAAUGAAAUUACCAUGUUAUAUCAGACUUUUAAAACCACAUGCAUUAAAGAUGCUAAAUUAUAUAAUAGUUUUAAUUUUGGUUUAAUGGUGACUCAAGCUACUAUGAUUUAUAAGCUAUGGUUUCUUCUUCUGGAUAUUAUGCAAAUGUACCCAGUGAAGGUAUAUUUAGUAAAACAUAUGUUAAUUAAUGUAUGGUUUACUACAAAAUACAAACCAUCUAAGCAAUGGCUGAUUUAAUCACAAUUUGUUAAAUAAGCAAGAAUGAUCGUUGCUGAAUAGAUUGUGCAUACCUGCUGAAAUCUCAUAAAUAUUUAUGAGACAUUUUGAUUCAGCAAAGAAUUAGCUAGCAGAAUAAAGACUCAUAUUUUAAUGCGAAUUUAAUUUAAAAUGUUAAAAUAUCUGCCUUUUAUUUCAGCCUUUCAGCCUAACUGUUUAUAUCAAUAACUAUGGCUACAGAAUAAUGAGAUUUGUUUGUGGCUUACUAUGGUCUAUGUAUAGUAUCUUGCUAAUUGGGUCUUGUUCAGAAAAUCAUUAUAAAAAUGAAAUCAUGGUUUAGCACCACACAUAUAGCCAACUAAAGGGCAAUGUGCAUAUUAUUAACUGUCAGCUAGAAUGAUGCAUGAAUAUAUACAUAAAGUAAUGUGAAGCCAUCCAAAAUAAUUUAAAAUAAAAUAGUUUAUUGUGGACAUAAAUGUAGACAAUUUAGAAUGAUAUUUUUAACAAUGUUAACAAAUGUUUAUAAGUAUUACAAUAUUGUGAUUGAUCCCCCUAAAUUCUAUAUAUUCCUGAUUUCUUUUGUUUCUUAAUUAUAUUUAGAAUAAAAACAUCGAUAAACUA